UAGGCUUUUUAAUUGACAGGUGAUGAAUCC
rnacentral:piRNA from 1 species